GACGAACGCUGGCGGCGUGCUUAACACAUGCAAGUCGAACGGGAUCCGGGCUUUCGGGUUUGGUGAGAGUGGCGAACGGGUGAGUAACACGUGAGUAACCUGCCCCCUUCUUUGGGAUAACGUCGGGAAAUCGGCGCUAAUACUGGAUAUUCUUGCUGCAUCGCAUGGUGUGGUUUGGAAAGGGUUUCUGGUGGGGGAUGGGCUCGCGGCCUAUCAGCUUGUUGGUGGGGUGAUGGCCUACCAAGGCUUUGACGGGUAGCCGGGCUGAGAGGAUGUCCGGCGACACUGGGACUGAGACACGGCCCAGACUCCUACGGGAGGCAGCAGUGGGGAAUAGUGGACAAUGGGCGCAAGCCUGAUGCAGCGACGCCGCGUGAGGGAUGACGGGCUUCGGGUUGUAAACCUCUUUCAGUAUGGAACAAGGAUCCUUCUUUUGGGGGGUUUGAGGGUACGUGCAGAAGAAGCGCCGGCUAACUACGUG
rnacentral:rRNA from 1 species